ensembl:lncRNA
AAAAAAAAAAAAAAAAAAAGAGCAAUAGAGUUUUAUAUAAUUGUUUUAAUGCAAUCAAGCUGGAAGGAGGGAGGAAAACCAGCAUCUGGAUCAGCCAAGUUACCUAUGUCAUACGUGUGUGUUCUGCAGGUCACUAAUUUCCCAAAUUUCUCCCCUAGAGGUAUAAUUUUCAUGCCUAUCAUGAGAAGAUAUUUAAUAUGAGACAUGGGGAGAUGAAAAGAGAAUGGUUCCUGUUAAAGCCCUAAUCAUGACAGAGCUAGAUAACUCCUAGGUAGAAAACAUCUCUGCGCCAUUUAUAAAAAUGUAUGGCUUCAAAUGUGGUUGGACACACAUGAAGAAAUGCUCCAAAUUUUUACAGUCACAGAAAAGUAAUGUUCAAAUCAACGUACCCAAGCAUUUCUGAAACACGGAACACCUUCAAAUAAAAGAAUUCCCCAGAAUGCCAACAAGAAUCAACUACAUAAAAAAUUAUCAUCUCACAUCUAUGCGUGUGCAUUUAGCUCUUUCAGAAUUUUCUAUGUUAAAAGGAAAAAAAAAAAAAGAGAGAAAAAAUAAAUAUUUAACUUAGUAUCAGUUGGUUGUUGCUGUGGGCACAUAGCACAGGGUUAUUGUCACUUGCUUGAUUUCGUUCUAUGAAAAUCUUUCCAUGACCAAAACAAAUAGCAUGCCCAGUCUGUAUUGAAGUUUUUAAUAAAAAGCAGUAAAGCAAUCUGUUUCAUUGUCAAAGGAUUGAAAGAAAUUUAAUUAAUGCCUUCGGAGGGAACGCCUAUAUAAGUAUCACAAUCACAAGAAUGUGUGCAUAUGCAUAUAUGAAUACAUAUGAACAGCCAUACUCUACCCUGUUGCUUUCAUGUCAUAACACUAUAGGCCAUGGGCAGCUGAAGGCAAAAGUGAACUCAUGCAAUUUAACAUAUCUUGCUGACACAAUUUUAAGGUUAAAUGACACUGUGUAGAUUAUGAGAAGUUUAAACGCUAACUUCAUCACAGGAUAAUUACCCCUACAAAAGAAAGGUGGUAUAGAAAUGCUAGCAGACAAGCAAAUUAAAAAUAUUAAGUUAGAAACAAGGGAAAAUGAGUUUAUGCCACGUUGGCAGAAACAAAAAGAAGCAACAAUAAAAAAGAAACACAAACCCCAGAAACAAAAAAACACAAAGAUGCAUGAAAAGCAGUAUGCUAUGUUAGAUGUUUAUCUAUACAUAAGAGACAGGUGUCACAAAAACAAAACAAAAAAAUCAUGAAGCUAAAGAGAAACUUUAACUCACCAGUUUCCAUCUGUUAUAUCUGAAUUCAUGCAUAAUUGAUUAUCCAUGACUGGUAAGUUCUUUUUUUUCACUAGCCUAACACAGUUUUCUAAACAUUAUGUGUUAAAUCACCACCAAAGUAAAGGGUGUUUGAGAAACCGUAAGGGCAGAAUAAAAAUUUUUUUAAUGAAAAAUAACAUGUCAGUUAAUAAUAGAGCUGACCUAUGUUUAAGAGAGAAAUUUUAAUCAUGUGCAUAUUAAAUAUUAAUAACCUAUUCUGUUAUUGUUAUAAUAAGGUUAAGUAAGCUUCUCCAUGCUUAAGGAAAGAGAAAAAGUAGGAAUAUGUAACAGUGAAAAAAAAACACUGAGAAGCAGAGACAUAAGGAAAAUGUGUCAACAAUAAACAAGAGGAAAUGAGAAAGAAGGAAAAGAUGAAGGUGGAAACUAAUCUCUAUGUGUCAUUAUGACUGCCAGAGUACUGGCAAAGAAGCAGCAUCCUUUUAUUUCAAUUUUAAUCAUUUCUGAAUUUUAAUACCCUGCUUCUUUUGUAAUUCUCCUGGCAUUCCCUAUAUGCAUCCAUCCCAGCCAAAACACCAGUGUAAAUUAAAUGGCACACAACCACACCACUGAUGUAGCGCUCCCAGUAGAACCAAUGGAGUGACCAAAAAGCAGAGGAGGUAUGACCACUUUUUGUCCCUGUAGACCAUUGGCCAAUUGAGUGACUUAAUGCUCUUCAAUUCCUUUAAUUUUGCAAAGAAGGGCAGUGGUUAGGUAACCCAGCAAUACAGAGCCAUUAAAAAAAAAUAAAGCAAGCCAGUAGUAAUACAAUAAUCAGUGACCAUCAGGGCCUGGAAAAAUGAGUUUGCUCUCACUGGCACUAAGGAGCAUCACAUGAUUAUUUAAUUACAGCUCUAAUUUUUGUCUCGUGGAUGGCAACAUAUCAACAAUUAAUAGGGCAAAUAGAGGAGACUGCAUUUUUAAAGAGACAGAACCUAUAUGAAAUACUGCUUGGAAAUGCAAUUUAUCAGACAGCAUAAUGCGUCUUAAGGCAUAUUUUUCUUCAUGUCACACAAAUAUAAAAGUUCCAGUAGUUCACUUUUCCUGCAUAGUAUCUAGCAAAUUCUUCUGAUAUCCUUAGAAAAUAAUAACUGCACCUAUGAAUAUCCUAAUAGUCAUUUUAUUCAGUAAUGUAGAAUUCAGUUUCUCAUAGGACAUGCAAUCCAAAUAAAGUACUGGAAUCACAAGUUUCAAAUGCAAAAUUGUUAUUAUAAAAUGAUUCUAUCCUUUAUCCUAAAAAGAUAAUGAAAUGGCCAAAAGGAUUAUGGCAUUCAGCAAGUCAAGUGAAGAAGAAAAAGAAAGUCAAUACUAUGCAGUCAAUGGGACAGAGAUUGAUUUUGGUUUAUUGAUUUUAUGAUGAGAUUUUCUUACGAGUACUGAAAUUAGGGGAAGCUCUGCUCUGAAAUGGUUAGUUGCAGAUCCCGUUCUUCCCGGUCCUGCAAGAGACUUCAUUGCAGAAUGGGGGAACUGUGGGCAGCUCAGUGUGUGGAGGAACAUCUUCCACAUGCUGUACAAAUUACCAGAAUUUGCAAAUACAUUGCAUGGCAAACUCUUAUGUACCUGAUCUUCCUCACGAACACAUUCACUAGUCCACAGCCACGUGUGGACAAAGUAAGAAGCCUCUUAAAUUUACCUUAUCCACAAUGUAUUUCAGAUAAUAUUCAACAAGUGACAUGGGAAAAGCAAGCUCAAAACUUUUUCCAAACACUAAACUGUAUAUGUGAAAAACCUACCAAACUACUCUUACAUUUUUUAAUCUUACGUCUCAAUAAGCAAGUUAAACAUGCUUUUUCAUUUGUUGUUCUAUAGUCUAUCCUUUGAACAAGCAAAGAAGUGCUGACUUUGGGCUCUUGCACAGAAAAAAAAAAAACAAAAAAACCUUGCUAAACAACAGUUCAGGUAUUACUGUAAAAAUAAAGCUACCUAGAGAAGAAAUACUAUUACAGUGGAUGUACCGUUCCUCUUGAAAGUUGUCUGAAAUUGUUUUGAUUGAAGACAUGAACAUUCUGGAUUGGAGAUCUUAAUCUACAAUCUUAAAAAGAAAGCUGGCAAGCAAGAGCUUGUAUGUAGAAGUAUAUAUCAUUCUUUUUAUGCACUGGUUACUAUACAGAUAACAUGUCUCACAAAGACUGUAAUUAAAUGUCUAGUGCAGAAAUAACACUAAAAAGCAUACAGUAUUAUUAUAUUACAUUCAAUCCUUAGGAGCUAAAACUGUCAUUUUUAAAGUUUUAAGAUGCCUCUAAUUAUUCCUGAAACUUUACAUAUAUAAAGGAAGCCCACCUAUGAUGAAAAGCAUUAAUGAUUUAAAGUCUUUCUAAUACAGAUCUCUACAAAAAUGUUAAUUUAAUUUUUGAUUAUAAACAUUUUAAAACUCACUCUAAAAUUUCUCCUCACUUCUUUUAUCUGCCUUUGGUUCCUCUGUGAGUUUGUGUGCACGCACACUCUCUCACUCUCUCUUCUCUCCUUCUUUUCAGUCUUUUAUUUGAUCCAUUAAAAUUGAGAAUAUGGGGCAUGUAUGAUAUUUAGAAUUUUUAUCCUGCUCUUUGCAAAUGUUUUUAAUUACUUGGCUGUUACAAACAGACGUAUUCUAAGUGCAGUUACUGAAAAGGAAAUAUCUCUGUUGUACCUUUGCAUGUGGGUUGGAGUUCAGAGCAGCAAUUCUUUGCGCAUUUACCAUGUUUUCCAUUCUGGGACUGAUUUACAAAUAUAAAUAAUUAAUUAAUCCUUUAGUGCUCGAUGAAACGUGUAUUGUUAAUUUUUCGGAUAGGUAAAUAAAUAAAGACAUAUUAAGGCCUCUGAGAGUGAUUGUGUACUGCAGCUUCCCCUUAUUCUGUAUGAAGUUGAGUGCUUUGGCACUCCAUGGGCUCAUGACAUUAAGGAUUUUAAACAUGCUGCAGUCUGUGCUUUACCUAAAACUAGACAUCUUGCCACUGCCAGAGCUGACACCAGGACCCCAGGCACCAGAAAAGGUCAGGAGACAGUCCUCUGGGUAUACACAAUCCCAGUGCACCACCACUUCUUACAUGGAGCAGCAAGUGGAACGACACACAAAUGAUUGCUGCUGGCCAAAUAAAUCCUGUCAGAGCAGGAUCCUGGGAAGAUGAGGUGCACUCUAGGUUUAAAGCACCUCCCUCAUCUCCUCAGGUCAUAUCAUGUCAUAAUGUGCCAAGGGAAAGAGAUAGAGCAGAUAGUGGCUGGGAGUUAUGCAAGGCCAACACGGCUGAUAGAUGGGGCCCAUCCUCAAGCUUCGCUCCCAGGUGCAGUUCAGGUGACUGAGGUCUACCUGCAGAUGAGCAGAUUCAUCUGUUCAUCUAACCUGCAGUUCGUAACAGAAAAGCAGGAGAGAGCAGGAGCUAAACACUUGCAAACCUACAGCUGGGGAGAAGCAUUUCCAACACUGCUUUACUACAGCUCAAGGCUAGCUGCAGGCCCACACUCCUGUGAGAGGCCUUCAUAUGGCCUGUGCCAACCCUGGCAUAAACUCAUGCUCAAAGUUUUACUGGAAAACUUAUUGCAGAAGAAACUGCGGUAUUUUGGCAUUCUAAAUAAGUAGCAGAAAGGGGACCUUGGUAUGAAUGCUAUAUAAUACGUUAGUAUGUCCCUCAGCCCAUCUGAAUACCUGACAAUUGAUCCCAUAUCAGAACUGUCAAAACAGAGGUCUACAGACCUCUACAAAGAUCCUCCAGUAUGCUUGAGAGGAAAGGCAGACCCAGCAAGUUUAAAAGAGUGUAUUUACAACUCAGACAGUGCCUGAGGUAUGUAACUCUGCUCUACACCCGUACUCCACUACUGCUAUGCUACUCCUACUAUAUUACACAGAUUUCGGCUGGUAUAAAGCACAAGAACCAGAUCAGAACACAUGAACAAUGUCAAGACUGGCAAUUCCCUGUGAAAUGGAUCUCUAAAUUUAUACUUAUUGAGAGUAUGCAGUGCAGGAGUCAUUAGAAAUUCAACAUUUGCAAAGCAGCGAAUAGAUAUCAUUUAAGUAACAAAGUGUUGGUGAUAACUGUGGUAAGCUGAGAUGCCACAGGAUGGCAAGCAUUAGAAAACACCUACAUUUCAGCAGGGAUCAUUAUAGCAUAUCCUUUCUGAAGUAUGAACUACAAAUUGUGGUCGGAUGCUACUCAGUUUGUGAUAACAGUACCGCUCAUAAGAGAAGUUACAUACAAGCUAACUAAGUAUUAAAUAUAAUCAUUUUCAGAAAAAAAAAAAAAAUGGACAUCUUGGGUAGAGACUAUUAAUGGAAUACUCUGAUGGAAAAUUUAGGGAUGCUUUGUGUAAACCGAGAGUUACUCUCCCUGAAGUUAACUUCAGCUAAAGAGCUAGCUACUUAGGUCUCUAGAUCAAAAUGAGAAGCAAUACCAAUGGGGUUUACUGACAUGGACUUUAUAAAAUUGCAGUAUUUAAAUAUAAUAAAUAGUAAGGACUGUAAGUUACUUUUUAUCCGUCAAACUAAUUUACUUUUUUCUUUUUCUUUCUUUUCUUUCUUUCUUUUUUUUUUUUUUUAGAAUCAGUAGCAACUUUGUGACAACCAAAGUUUAAAAAAUGCACUUGAUUGCAUAGUGACAGAUUUGCAGAACAUUUUUCAUCACACACACAUAUGUGCUUUCAGUUAUUAAUAAAAUGCUUCUGCCCUUAAUCUGCCGUUGCCUGAAUAUACAAUUUCAGUGACUUGGAUAGACAAAUACUGUUAAGGAAUUCUGUUUUCACUGUUUGAGAUGCAAUUCAAAUACACCCAGCAAAACCAAAUACUGUGUCUUUAAAACUGGCUUCCGAAUGCCACAGAAAGGAAUACUGAAUCAGUUUUCUACACAGUCCCCAAGGAAUGAUUAGAAAACUUUCUUUUCUUCUCCUGCCCUCCUUUUCUUUUUCCUCCGUUUCAGACAAGGAAGAGCCAGCUGCCAUGGAUAGCACCACAGGUAGAUAUUAAAACGGAGACAGCCAUUAUUUAGUGGCGACAGGAAUAUAAAUACAUGCACUAACCUAUAAACCGGUGUUUACUUCAGGAAAGUAAGUCAUAUUUUUCCUCUGAUUGCUGUGCUGUCAGUUUAAUGCAGCGUAAAUAAACAGUAGGUGCAUGAUAGCUUUAAGUAGAAAGUGUUCAUUCCACAAGAGGAGCAGAUUACUGAAGCCUGAUGCCUAUAAUGGCAAAAGCAGAACUCCCAUUUUACCUGAAAAUAUAGCAUUUCAUACUAAGAGGCUUGUGGCUUUUCUAUUAAAUUAAUUUGUCAAAAUUCUAUGAAAAAUAUUACAUACCCAACGAACUUAACCAAAAACAUUCAUUUUUGCAGCCCUCAACUUGAACCAUUUGAAAAAACAAAAGCCAAUCACUCCUCUGUAAUUUCAUCAUCCCAUUGCUCUAAAUGAAAGCUUUAUAUAAUCAACCUAAUAUAACAGAAAAUAAAAUGAUAUAUAGAAUUGCCCAUACUUUGAGUUAUUUUGUUCUUAUAAAUAUAUUCCCCGACUGAAAGUAAAAAAAUUCCCCUUUGGAAAAAACAAUGAUUUCUGAGAAGAUUGUAUAUACACUCUACAUCUAUUAACAUAAAUUAUAAGAAAGUAAAAUGUUCCAGAUGUGUUUAAACUGUUGUGGAAGGAAAGUUUGUGGCUUCAUUGGAUAUAUAUUAAAUAUAUCUAGAGAGAGCAAUGGCAGUUAUGUACAAGAAGGCAAUAAAAUGCUUCAGUAGUGUCUGUGCUAAAAUAGUGUAGUUCCUAGAAAUGCGGCUAACAUUUCAGAAGUCACAUUCCUUCCAUUUUUAAUUCAGAAAUCUACUUUUAACAUAUAUCUUUAAUAUAUUUUUUGUAUAUAACAUAAUCUAUUUUAUUGAUAAAAUAAUCUCCUUGAUUUUUUUCCCCCAAAGUACAACUUGAAAUCUUACAAAGGACUUUGAAUUUAUCUGACAAUGAUUAAAAAUGACUAAAAAAUAGACAACAAUAAAAAAGUGUCAUCACUUCCAAAGAACACCAGACUUCAGCCCAGCAUCUCCUAAACUGCAGCCGCACGCAUCUGAACCCCUCUCUCCCCCAAACCUGAAACGUAGGAUGAGUCAGUGCUCGCUCAGGACUUUCCCACUGUUGCAAGGUUUUCGGGCUGAGGGCUGGGAUGGAUGUGCCAGUGGUCCCACAGGACGGAGGAUGCAGUGCUACUGGGCAGUGGCAGGGUUGCUCUCGGCUGUGAAGCACAGCCACAGAGGGCAAACGCUCAUCAGCUGCCCCGCGGGGCCUACGCUGCGCAAUGAGAGAUGCUCCGCUCGCGCACAGCUCUGGGCUCGUGUGGCACAGCCUCUAUCUGGCAGAGCAGCGCAUCCCAUUCGUGAGUUACGGGUUGGCUUUGCUCUACAGUGCUUUCUGGGAGCGUGCAGCAGGUUAGGGUUGGUGCAUGCUGCUGAAAUAACAGGAGAGGAGAAACCGAGACAGCCACUUUCCUAUUUAAAGUAUUAGCAGCAAAGAAUAUAAAAAGGAAACAGCUCGUUUUUCAAAGUGUACACACAAAAAGCAUUCCAUUUAAAUAUUUUUUGUUCCAGUAAACUCUUUUGCAUACAAAGGACUUAUUUAUUACAUAUUUGAACUUGUGGGAAAAAAAAAAAAAAGGAAGGAAUGCACUGAUUCCUGAAAUAACUCUACACUCUGCUUGGGGACUUCACUAUUCUGUGCUCUUGUUCUACUCUGAACAAUGUUAUUCCAGGGAUGAAGGAAUUCCUGGGAGUAGGUUGUAGCUUUUCCACUCGCUGUUUGUAUUCAAGAGUGGGCACACAUAGCACACCAGCCCGUGAUCUUAAUUUUUCUUCCACUGCCUCAUGAUGUGUGUGUGCUGUUUGUUUAGAUGCAUGCCUGUGCGUGAACACGUUACACUUCUGCUUGCUCAUUUUGCUACCUGCUCUGUCUCAUUGCUGCGUAAACCAUUGCUUUGACUUGGAAAGUGAGGCAGUGCCAAUAACAAUCUCAAAUAGAGAAUGAAUUAGGAAAUGAGUGUAUGUACAAAAGUAUUAUAGAGCAUAUAGGAAAACGAGAGCACUCUACAAUUCUACAGAUAGCGCUGCAGACUAAGAGGAGGGUACAAACGACAAAGAACGUCCUAUAUUCACAUCUUUACACUCUACGGUUACUGUUUCAAGUUGGCUUUGAAUAGGGCGCCCGAUUUGCCACAUUUCUAUCUGGUGAUUGUGUUGAAUGCUUGAGGAGAUAGUGAAAGAUCCAAGCACUCCUUGUGCUAACUACAGCUGAAAUUUUACACUUAUUGUAACCUUUUCUAACAAUGUGAGAAAAACAGAGUAAAUAUAUUAAACUUGUUUUACAACAGAUGCUUAGGUUGUUAAUAUUUAAGAUGCCUAUUCAUGCUAUUCCUGUCUGCACAUUUGUCAAAAAUGUAAGCUUGAAUGCUAAUGUUUGCCAGCAGACUACAGCAGACAAAUAUACGAAUGCACUGCGCUGAAAUAAUAGGAAGUAGAAGGGCUGCUGCUGCCCAGGUGGCGGGGAGCAGAGGGACAGGGCAGGGAGCUGCCCGACCACACGCCUUCAGCAUCUGCGUCUGAAUUCGGGAAUUCUGCGCACAGAAGCACCGUGCUCAGUUGGGCUGACUAAAGCUAGCGGAGAGCUUUCGUCAUUUGCGACUCGUUUCGGCUUAGGAGCUGGCACAAAGUAUUUCAGCAAACUUGCAUUUUAGCGAAGUUUCUCCAGCAGUGAGAAGCCCGGAGCCCGGCAGAGGGAAACUCCGAGCCGGGCAGGUGCCUGUCGGGAGCGCUCCCCGAGCAGCGAGCGCAGACGGCGAUCAAAGCGCGCCGAUGUGAGCCAACCCUCGGCUGUCGGGUUCGGAAACGGAGAAAAAAAUAAUAAUAAUAAAAAUGAAAAUAAAAUCCCGGAGCGUAGCGACGAACUGCUGGCACCGUUCCCCGCGGCAGCGGCAGCGCCGGGUCGUGCCACGGGUGGGCGAGGGGGGACGCUUUCCGGAGGUCCCUCCGCCGCGCCGC